rnacentral:rRNA from 1 species
CCUACGUGAGGCAGCAGUGAGGAAUAUUGGUCAAUGGGCGCGAGCCUGAACCAGCCAAGUAGCGUGAAGGAUGACUGCCCUACGGGUUGUAAACUUCUUUUAUCAAGGAAUAAAGUGAGGCACGUGUGCCUUUUUGUAUGUACUUUAUGAAUAAGGCUCGGCUAACUCCGUCCCAGCAGCCGCGGUAAUACGGAGGAUCCGGGCGUUAUCCGGAUUUAUUGGGUUUAAAGGGAGCGUAGAUGGGUUGUUAAGUCAGUUGUGAAAGUUUGCGGCUCAACCGUAAAAUUGCAAUUGAUACUGGCAGUCUUGAGUACAGGUGAGGUAGGCGGAAUUCGUGGUGUAGCGGUGAAAUGCUUAGAUAUCACGAAGAACUCCGAUUGCGAAGGCAGCUUACUAAACUGCCACUGACAUUGAUGCUCGAAAGUGUGGGUAUCAAACAGGAUUAGAUACCCUUGUAGUC